GGGUUGUGAGGUUAAGCGACUAAGCGUACACGGUGGAUGCCCUGGCAGUCAGAGGCGAUGAAGGACGUGCUAAUCUGCGAUAAGCGUCGGUAAGGUGAUAUGAACCGUUAUAACCGGCGAUUUCCGAAUGGGGAAACCCAGUGUGUUUCGACACACUAUCAUUAACUGAAUCCAUAGGUUAAUGAGGCGAACCGGGGGAACUGAAACAUCUAAGUACCCCGAGGAAAAGAAAUCAACCGAGAUUCCCCCAGUAGCGGCGAGCGAACGGGGAGGAGCCCAGAGCCUGAAUCAGUGUGUGUGUUAGUGGAAGCGUCUGGAAAGGCGCGCGAUACAGGGUGACAGCCCCGUACACAAAAAUGCACAUGCUGUGAGCUCGAUGAGUAGGGCGGGACACGUGGUAUCCUGUCUGAAUAUGGGGGGACCAUCCUCCAAGGCUAAAUACUCCUGACUGACCGAUAGUGAACCAGUACCGUGAGGGAAAGGCGAAAAGAACCCCGGCGAGGGGAGUGAAAAAGAACCUGAAACCGUGUACGUACAAGCAGUGGGAGCACGCUUAGGCGUGUGACUGCGUACCUUUUGUAUAAUGGGUCAGCGACUUAUAUUCUGUAGCAAGGUUAACCGAAUAGGGGAGCCGAAGGGAAACCGAGUCUUAACUGGGCGUUAAGUUGCAGGGUAUAGACCCGAAACCCGGUGAUCUAGCCAUGGGCAGGUUGAAGGUUGGGUAACACUAACUGGAGGACCGAACCGACUAAUGUUGAAAAAUUAGCGGAUGACUUGUGGCUGGGGGUGAAAGGCCAAUCAAACCGGGAGAUAGCUGGUUCUCCCCGAAAGCUAUUUAGGUAGCGCCUCGUGAACUCAUCUCCGGGGGUAGAGCACUGUUUCGGCAAGGGGGUCAUCCCGACUUACCAACCCGAUGCAAACUGCGAAUACCGGAGAAUGUUAUCACGGGAGACACACGGCGGGUGCUAACGUCCGUCGUGAAGAGGGAAACAACCCAGACCGCCAGCUAAGGUCCCAAAGUCAUGGUUAAGUGGGAAACGAUGUGGGAAGGCCCAGACAGCCAGGAUGUUGGCUUAGAAGCAGCCAUCAUUUAAAGAAAGCGUAAUAGCUCACUGGUCGAGUCGGCCUGCGCGGAAGAUGUAACGGGGCUAAACCAUGCACCGAAGCUGCGGCAGCGACACUAUGUGUUGUUGGGUAGGGGAGCGUUCUGUAAGCCUGUGAAGGUGUGCUGUGAGGCAUGCUGGAGGUAUCAGAAGUGCGAAUGCUGACAUAAGUAACGAUAAAGCGGGUGAAAAGCCCGCUCGCCGGAAGACCAAGGGUUCCUGUCCAACGUUAAUCGGGGCAGGGUGAGUCGACCCCUAAGGCGAGGCCGAAAGGCGUAGUCGAUGGGAAACAGGUUAAUAUUCCUGUACUUGGUGUUACUGCGAAGGGGGGACGGAGAAGGCUAUGUUGGCCGGGCGACGGUUGUCCCGGUUUAAGCGUGUAGGCUGGUUUUCCAGGCAAAUCCGGAAAAUCAAGGCUGAGGCGUGAUGACGAGGCACUACGGUGCUGAAGCAACAAAUGCCCUGCUUCCAGGAAAAGCCUCUAAGCAUCAGGUAACAUCAAAUCGUACCCCAAACCGACACAGGUGGUCAGGUAGAGAAUACCAAGGCGCUUGAGAGAACUCGGGUGAAGGAACUAGGCAAAAUGGUGCCGUAACUUCGGGAGAAGGCACGCUGAUAUGUAGGUGAAGUCCCUCGCGGAUGGAGCUGAAAUCAGUCGAAGAUACCAGCUGGCUGCAACUGUUUAUUAAAAACACAGCACUGUGCAAACACGAAAGUGGACGUAUACGGUGUGACGCCUGCCCGGUGCCGGAAGGUUAAUUGAUGGGGUUAGCGGUAACGCGAAGCUCUUGAUCGAAGCCCCGGUAAACGGCGGCCGUAACUAUAACGGUCCUAAGGUAGCGAAAUUCCUUGUCGGGUAAGUUCCGACCUGCACGAAUGGCGUAAUGAUGGCCAGGCUGUCUCCACCCGAGACUCAGUGAAAUUGAACUCGCUGUGAAGAUGCAGUGUACCCGCGGCAAGACGGAAAGACCCCGUGAACCUUUACUAUAGCUUGACACUGAACAUUGAGCCUUGAUGUGUAGGAUAGGUGGGAGGCUUAGAAGUGUGGACGCCAGUCUGCAUGGAGCCGACCUUGAAAUACCACCCUUUAAUGUUUGAUGUUCUAACGUUGACCCGUAAUCCGGGUUGCGGACAGUGUCUGGUGGGUAGUUUGACUGGGGCGGUCUCCUCCUAAAGAGUAACGGAGGAGCACGAAGGUUGGCUAAUCCUGGUCGGACAUCAGGAGGUUAGUGCAAUGGCAUAAGCCAGCUUGACUGCGAGCGUGACGGCGCGAGCAGGUGCGAAAGCAGGUCAUAGUGAUCCGGUGGUUCUGAAUGGAAGGGCCAUCGCUCAACGGAUAAAAGGUACUCCGGGGAUAACAGGCUGAUACCGCCCAAGAGUUCAUAUCGACGGCGGUGUUUGGCACCUCGAUGUCGGCUCAUCACAUCCUGGGGCUGAAGUAGGUCCCAAGGGUAUGGCUGUUCGCCAUUUAAAGUGGUACGCGAGCUGGGUUUAGAACGUCGUGAGACAGUUCGGUCCCUAUCUGCCGUGGGCGCUGGAGAACUGAGGGGGGCUGCUCCUAGUACGAGAGGACCGGAGUGGACGCAUCACUGGUGUUCGGGUUGUCAUGCCAAUGGCACUGCCCGGUAGCUAAAUGCGGAAGAGAUAAGUGCUGAAAGCAUCUAAGCACGAAACUUGCCCCGAGAUGAGUUCUCCCUGACUCCUUGAGAGUCCUGAAGGAACGUUGAAGACGACGACGUUGAUAGGCCGGGUGUGUAAGCGCAGCGAUGCGUUGAGCUAACCGGUACUAAUGAACCGUGAGGCUUAACCUUACAACGCCGAAG
rnacentral:rRNA from 1 species